GGUUAUGGCUCAGUGGUAGAGCACUCACUUAGCACGUGUAAGGCCCUGGGUUGGAUUCUCAGCACCA
rnacentral:tRNA from 1 species